UCUUCUUUUCACGUGCUCUCUCACCGGCUAGAUUCGCGAGAGAGUGUGUGAAAUGAAGAGA
rnacentral:pre_miRNA from 1 species